GUUGGAGGGGAAUUGUGCUGCCUGAGAGGGACAGAGAAUGAGUGAGUGCUCAGGGUUGAAAAGACCCACGCAGCUGUAGGGGAGGGAGGUUUUCAAGAGCUCUCCUCUGGAACUAAGAAGGGAAUGGGGCUUCUGUGAUUUCCACACCUAGAGAAGCAACGCUUUCCCCAACAUAUCUUGAGUGUUUGGGGGUGGAAGAUGGCAGAAUCACGGAAGAUUGCAUUCCGGGUUCAUGCAGAAUGGCUGCCCCUCCACUCCUCACCCAGUCCUAGUAGAAAUUAGAAAAGGAAGCCUUAAGCUGGCCCCCUCACACACAGGGGUGGGUGAGCGGACUGAAGCCUAGAUUUCUGUUCCCACUGAAUCCUUCACUUACACAAACCUCAUCAGCCCACUUCUCUCCACCUAACUCAUUGGAGUUAUUUUUUAUUCUUCUGUGGGAUUUUUCAACAUGCCUCCAGUUCUCACUAUACCACCUCCUGACUUCUAUAACUAAAUUUAUUUUUAUAUUCUCAAUGUUUAUAGCCUUUAUGGGUUUAGUCUCUCUAGCUCUAAUUAAUUUAUUCAUGUCAUGUAUAUAUAUUUAUUUUUAAAACCAGGAUUCACCAUGCAGCAUUUACAAUAGUAUGAUUAUAAAUCUAGGAUUCACUGCAGAACUAAAGUAACGCUGUUGGAUAAAUAAGGAAAUGUACUCACUUGUGACUAAAAGCUGUGACACUAGAAGAAAAAAUAUGUCCAAAUUUUAAAGUCAACAAUAUAUUUUCUUAUACUAUAUCAAUUGCACAAAAUUAUGCCACAUUUUAUAAUAGAUUGCUUUAUAUUUGAACCCUGACUUUCUUUUAGAUAAGUUUGUUUUUCUUAUAGUUUCUAAUUGCCUUUGUUUUUUCCUAGGAGAAGCAUAGGGCUUUACCUUUUCACUAAUGUCAUUUAGCUUCUUAGUGAUAUUUGUCAAGGUGAAUCCACUGAUCUUUGACUUCUUGUUUAAUUUGAG
rnacentral:lncRNA from 10 species